CAAUCUAACAUAAACAAUAUAUAUAGAUAUCUCAAUUGGGGAGAGAUGGCUGAGUGGACUAAAGUGUCGGAUUGCUAAUCCGUUGUACGAAUUUUUGUACCGAGGGUUCGAAUCCCUCUCUUUCCGUUUCCGCCCGUGGGUUAGUAUUUUUUUUUUCUUUUGAAUUUUCUAUGUUUGAUUUUGAUAGUUACCAGUUAAAGAUGUAAAAUAGAUAAAAUCCUAAAAGUUUUUCAAAAUCUAGCACAAACAAGGAAAACAUAGAAAACUCAAAAUAUUUUUUUUAUUCUUCACGUCCUGGAUUACGUCCCGGAUCAUUAGAUAGGAAUCCGAAGAUGAAAAGAGAAACAAAGAAUAUCACUACCGUGUAAACAAAUAGUUUUAGAGUAAGAACAGAGGUACUUCAAACAAUCUCCAAGAUAGUUAA